UGUAUCUACUAGUGGGUCUGUCCCUAUGUUUUUAACAUUGUUUUAUUUUGUGACGUCUAUUAUUGUUAUUGUUCACUGCCAACUUUACAUGCAGGUCACGUAAUGAUCUUGAAAAAGGCAAGGAUAUUCCUGUCGAAACGUCGAUUAAAUGAUAUGACAUAACAUCAUAGCCAUCUCUUUUUCUUUGUGAACCUAAGCCCAAGAAACCCAAA
rnacentral:lncRNA from 1 species